rnacentral:lncRNA from 1 species
AGGGCUGCAGUCAGCCAGUCCAGGAGACCUGCAGAGGUGCCAGCUCACACAGAGGGAACUUUGUGGAGGCUCUGGCAGGAACGUGUGGGUUCUGUAUACCCAAGGCUGUGUGCCUAGGUGUACCUUUCCCUGGGACUUUGCCUCUCUGGAUCAGGUUACCUGAGUUGAGCCCGGUGCGCGCCCGCGAGAGGGUCCGGGACAACGGGAUGCUCAGCGCCGACUGAGGCUCCAGAGCCUGCGGGCGGGGGGCGGCGAGAGGCGGGCAGGGGCGACGUCCACUCCCCGGGCCCUCCCCCUGGGCCGCGCAGCCUCCGCCGGCCGCUCCCGCCGGGGCGCGACCGGGCCGGCCUCUGCCGCGGGCGGUCUGCGGAGAGCGGGCACCUCCUCCCCCUGGGGCGGCGCCUCCUCCGCGGCCGGGUUGGUCACAGGGUUGUGCAUGGCUUGCUGGAGGGAACUUGAGACACCUGAAGAAUGGCCCAGCUCUGGCUGAACUAGAUCCAGACGGCAUGGAUGGCCUGACUCUCCAUCCUAACAGUUCUGAGACCAAGGUAGCUUGGACAGGAGCAGUCAAGUAGGCCUUCCCCUCUCAGACCCUUAAGUAGCAGGGCUCACACAUGCAAGGAGCUACAUUUCUGGCCCUUUAGUGAUUCUUAAGUGUACUUGUGUGUGGCUUCUAUCACAUAUUGUCCAUGGACAGUCAGAGACCCAUGGCCCCACAUCCAGCCUUAACUUCCCUCAGAAUACUAUACUCACAGCAAAAUGCAUACUGGAGUCACAGUGGUGUUGGUUCCUGGUUCCACUUUCUAACUCUCUUAAACGAAGCUUUCUUCUCAAUAAAACUGUCAUAGUAAUAGCUACUUCUUAGGUUCUCACUAAUUCAUUUAUACCAUACCAACCACAUCUCAGCAAAUGUCAGCUGACAAGCCAAGACCAGGUGGCUAAGGGGCAGGGCUCCUCCU